rnacentral:sRNA from 1 species
GAGAGAGAGAGAACGCACAUGUAGACAGACUGAGUCUGGCACAGGCUUUUGAAACCUCAAAGCCCACCCACCCCCAGUGACACACUUCCUCCAACAGGCCAUACCUCCUAAUCUUGUUACACUUGAAUGUGUGGGAGCUGUGAUCAAACGAUGGAGUCAAGGUACCCUCAGCAGUCACUGGUGGCUUUGGAUGUAGCCUUCACCUGUAUGACAAGGACAUUAGCCAACAUGAUCUUCGACAUUCCUCUCAGCUCGAGAACUAGGUGAACUGUGAGUGCGAGAGCCGUGUGUCAGAGAUCAGUUUCUCCAUGAAGCUGUUCGUCCAGCUUUCUGUCUCUUCGAUGGCUUUCUUUUUGAUGCUGUGUGGGUGACCUGGCCAGAGUCACCUAUGUAGUCAGUUACUGUAUCCCUCUAGGGAAACUCCCAUCUAGGAAUACAGACAGGGGCUAAUGGUGGGACUAGGUGCCACACAGUGUUAAACACUAAACCCAGAGAAGGAAGGAAGACCCAGCAGGGAGUAUGGCCCUGGAUACUGUCCUGUUCAGUUGCUAUGAUCAAACAUCUUAUACCCUCUUUCCUGGCCUCUUAGCAUGUGCAGUGGUAGGAGCUGGGAGCAGCGUUGACACUCAGAGCUAGUGAACAACUCUCACUGGAGACGUCUCUCCUGGCUGUCUCAGCCUGGGCAACUUUUCCACAUUCUUGGCCACUGUAGCUCCCGUGGGAAUUCUCUCAAGUGGCUUCACUUGGCAAUAUAGAGAACUGAGGCCUGAUAGUGGCCUGCGGCUUCUGAGCUUCCAGGCAGCUGGCUCUCUGUAUGUCAGGUCUCACCAAGAGAUGGCUUGGGACUGUGCCCAAGCCUCACGGACUCACACGUGCCCAAGGCUUUGAAAUGAAAUAAUUUUGUUAUUGGGAAAAUUGAUGAAUAACGAAUGAAGAAGGGACAGCGUUGUGGAGCAGAGCAGCUCAUAUCAUGGCAGAAAAGAAACAGAAAAGGACAGUUCAGCAUCAGAGACUGGGCAUCGCAGGAACCUGGCCCUAUGGACCUACAUCCUCCAGGUAAGUCUCACCUCCCAAGGUUUACAGAACAUCCCAGUACUGCUAGCUAGGCUUUAACACUGAAGACUGUGGUGGACAUUUUGUAUUCAAGCUAGAACAUUUCACUCUUCUGGCUAGGGACACGUCUCAGUGGGUAAAGUGCUUGCCUAGCAUGGAUGAUGUAAGUUCCCUGUCCCUGGCAUUGCUGAAAACACUACCUGCUCAGGUGAUAACACUGUGACUUAGCCACAUCACUUGACCUCCCAGAUGUUCUUUGGAAAUAAGGGGAGAAACUUGAGUGAGUCUGACCCUUCUAGACCCUGCAUGCCUGUAAAGCAGCUUCACAGGGACAAUGCCAAGCUCUGGUGCUCACUCAAGCAGCAGCUGGACCUCCAUGGGCCAUGGCAUCAGUGCCUGAGUGCUGAGUGGCUGAACCUGGGAGCUAUCUUCUCAGGCAUCCCUUGAGACUGUUUUCAAGGGUAAGUCUUCCAAAUGAGUGUACAAUUUUACAUUCUACACAGCUGUGGGUUGGGUCUGGUCAGUUUCUGUGAUGAAUACUCUUGACUGGCAACUUUACUACGUCUAGAAUUAACUGAAACCCAGAUAGCUAGGCACACCUGUGAGGGUCUUUUCUUAAUGAAAUAAUGGGAAGUGGGAAGAUCCACCUUUGAUCUGAACCACACCUUUUGCUGGUAGCCCACAUAAAGAACAUGGAGGGAGGGAAGGAGCUCACUCUCUUUGCCUACUUGUUUGAGAACAAGACUUGCAGCAAAUCUACUCUUCACUGGCACUACAGCCUCUUUCUUUACUUCUUCGGUAUUCCUGUCUAUACUGGUCUUCACUGAGACAUCCAGCCUUGUAGACUAAGCAACUACUACAUUCUUAGACCUUCUGUUGGUAGACAGUCACUGUUGGCUUAGCUGGACCACAGCCUAUUAAUAAAUUCUCCUUUCUACAUAAUUCAUGUGUGUUAUAACACUCUCUCUCUCUCUCUCUCUCUCUCUCUCUCUCUCUCUCUCUCUCUCUCUCUCUCUCUGUCUCACCUGAAGAACACACAUGCUCUUAGGACAUGUUUUCUGCUGUCCCAGUAACAAGUGCUCAGCUGCUUUGGAAAUGCCACUGGUUACUUUAUCAACCACACCCUUUAAGUCUACAACUUUCUACAUUACAUUUGAGGCCCGACUGGAGAGUUUUCAAAUCCUUCUGCUCAGCUUUGUGCUCCCAACUCUCACUGAAAAUAUAUUGUCAAAAGCAGGCAACAAAGACAGUGCUUCAGCUUGGGCGCCAAGCUACACUGAAAUUUCCCCACCAAAUUAUCUAGUUACUUUUAAACUUAGCCCCAACAUCCCAGGACUGGGAAAAAUGCACACAAAUUCUUUUCGAAAAUGUAACAAAUUCCCUCUGGCCCUAUUUCCAACAGUGACUUCACAGCUUGGCCUUCACUGCACACCUACUGGCAUUCUGACCUUUUGUUCUUCCCCAGAAUCACCCCUGAGAGCUCUAUUUACAAAACAUGAAGCUUUCUCUAUCUCAUUCUUUAAACUUUUCCCAUAAAUCAGCUCCAUACACUUAGGACUUAGUCACAGCAAUGACACUAUUUUUAGUAUCCAGUUAGCUAGCUUUCUAUAACUGAGGCCAGAUCACCCAACAGAAACAGCUUAGAGAAUGAGAGGUUGAUUUUGGUUCAUGGCUUAAAAGGUUCAGCCCAUGGUUGUUUUACCCACAUGUGCUUGGACAGAACAUCAUGGUGGUGCUGUGUGGCAGCAGGAGACAGAGGAUGACACCAGGAGGGAUCAGGGACAAGACACCCAAAGGCCUGUUCUCCCUCAGAGACAAGACACUGUAGGUCCCACUCUCCCAGUGACCUGCUCUUUCCAAUUAGAUUCCACUUCCUAAGGUUUCUAGAACCUACAAAGAGUGCCACUAGCUAGGUACUGAAGUUUUAAUACAUGAGCGUGUACUGGAAUUUCACAUUAACCUGGAACACCGUGUCUCAGGAUCCAGUGCUCGGGACCCCAAUCCUUUCUCAGUUUGUGUCAUCUGAAAACAGUACCCAAAGCAGUGUUCAACUCCAAGGGUGUGUGCUGGUCCGUGUGUGUGCUACAUUUGCACCAUGGAUAUGCACGUCUAUACACUUAUGUAGAGAGCUAUGAUGUGUGAACUGGUUGACCAAACUUGAUAAUGUUCACCUGUCACUCUCAGGGGAGUUCCUAAAUCCUACAGUGACCUUGCAGGUAAAAGGGCGGCACACAUCUCUGCCUGCUUUCCAGCCAACUCGAAUGAAUCACCUCUAAAUGUCAAUCAUCUCAAACUUGUGUCUCCCCCAAGUAUGCUUGGAAAACCUGCAAACUUCAUUUGAAUCAUUACUGAUGACAGUGUUUAGAUACGCCAGAUCAAAGAUAGAGCCCUGAGGCCACGGAAACGCUGUGUGCAGUGGUUAAUCAGCUUGCCCAGGUAGAACCUGGGCCACCUUAGGACUCUCAUCACUCCACAGGCUGGUGUUCCACCUUCACAGCCAUGGCGUAAAUUCUAUGACAUCUUGUGUCAACAGUUAUUUUGGUGUCCUCAGACUGAAAAAUUUUUUCUGACAUCUACAAGUCACCUGGUGCUAACCUGCUUUACACUGUCAGAUAACAAAAUACUAAAUUUCCCAUUCCAUUUUUUUUUCUUUCUUUUUUUCGGAGCUGGGGACCAAACCCAGGGCCUUGCGCUUGCUAGGCAAGCGCUCUACCACUGAGCUAAAUCCCCAACCCCAGCAAUGACAUCUUAAGGUGGCUGUCUGCAAUUAUUUCUGGCUGAGGAGCCCUGUCUCUGGGCUGGUCAGUAGUUGGACGGAUCCAUUUCCUCUUUGUUGUGUGUGGGCAUGUUUCCAAGGCCUCCAGCCAGUCUGUCUCCUUCCUAUGCUUGCUGCCACCCUGUGUACCUCACACAGAACUGUAGCUCACUUUCAUUUUGAACCUGUCCAGGAACAGGUCUAUAUGCUGUCAACAGGCAGCCGUCUCAGGGGCUGGUAAGUUAUAGCCGGAGCUGACAGAGGCGAGCAGAGAUGUCUGGUCACAGCUGUGACCUGGUCGCUGGUGAUCUUUCCCUGCCCUGGUGACAUGCACUGGUGCAUGGGAUCCAUGUAGAGGCUGCUGCGGCAACAGGUGGCACAGACCGCACUGGGGCCCUCGGGUUGGACUGGCUGCCAAGCAGCCCUGUAAGCAAUGUCUGCCACAAGAACAGACGCCCUCUCUGGGUGUUCUGGGUGUGAUCGCUGUGAGCACUCCUUCUCAGACGUGAAGAACCACGUCUACCACUGCUGGCUUGAAGCCCGACCAGGCUCUUGCAGGUCUUCACGAAGGGUCUUCUAUUGCUGAAGGGGAGCAGCCUAGUGCCUCAGCCACCCACUGCCAUUGGUCAAGCUGGUUUCUACACUUAAGUAUUUUUCAGGGCUGAGAAGACGAGUGUGGCUCACUGCUGACUGUCCUGGUAAAGGCCUAUCAGAGAGUCUGUGGGUCGUUUCUGGACCUGCUGUAUGGAGCUUUGGUAAAGGGAUAUGGUUGGCAAUGCAACAGCUCUCAUUUCCCAUAGAGUUGACGACCUUGCCAAUGUUUGGGUCAAUCUCCCCCCACCAAAAAGGGAGCUUGCCAUUCACAGUAGCCCAGACCGCAGGCGAGCUGGUCAGGCUUAGUGAUGUAAGCUCCUUAGGGAAGUGAUGGAUAAAACAUAGAUGUA